AUACUCUGAUUUCUCUUCAGAUCAUAUAAAUCUCUGGCCUUUUACUAAAGAUUUCUUUGGAGAGGAGCAAUUCUGAGUCUUAACCCAAUUUCUGAGGCCCUGUACCUGCAAGGU
ensembl:snRNA U5 U5 spliceosomal RNA